rnacentral:misc_RNA from 1 species
GUAGGAGAACCUGCGGAAGGAUCAUUACAGAGUUCAUGCCCUCACGGGUAGAUCUCCCACCCUUGAAUAUUAUACCUUCGUUGCUUUGGCAGGCCGUGGAAACACCAGAGGCUCCGGCCGGCGAGCGCUUGCCAGAGGAUCUAAACUCUGAAUUACAGUGUCGUCUGAGUACUAUAAAAUAGUUAAAACUUUCAACAACGGAUCUCUUGGUUCUG